CGGAGGAUCCGAGCGUUAUCCGGAUUUAUUGGGUUUAAAGGGUGCGUAGGCGGCCUGUUAAGUCAGGGGUGAAAGACGGUAGCUCAACUAUCGCAGUGCCCUUGAUACUGAUGGGCUUGAAUGUACUAGAGGUAGGCGGAAUGUGACAAGUAGCGGUGAAAUGCAUAGAUAUGUCACAGAACACCAAUUGCGAAGGCAGCUUACUAUGGUAUUAUUGACGCUGAGGCACGAAAGCGUGGGGAUCAAACAGGAUUAGAUACCCUGGUAGUCCACGCCCUAAACGAUGAAUACUCGAUGUUAGCGAUAUACAGUUGGCGUCAAAGCGAAAGCGUUAAGUAUUCCACCUGGGGAGUACGCCCGCAAGGGUG
rnacentral:rRNA from 1 species